rnacentral:lncRNA from 1 species
AAAAAGAGGGAUUCUAGUUGUAAGAUAUCUAAUGAAACCGUAGCUGGAAUUGAGAAAACAAAAUUGUUUGAAGCACGCACAGAACCGGAAGCGCCCCUUGUUUCAAAGAGAGGAGGACGGGUUAUUCACAUUUAAUUUGAUGGUCAGAGGCUAAUUGAAAGCUAAGCAGUGGUAAUUAAGAUCCCCCUGGGGAAAAAGAGAGAUGUCUCCUACGUUACCCGUAUACUGAUUAGUCGUAAAUCAAUUUGAUUUUGUUAUACCAUUAAAAAAACACAAUUUGAGAUACAAAUUUAAGAACCGUUCACUAAUUCUAAAGUAAAAAUAGUUAAUGGUUCCAAUUUGCCCUGAAUUUUUGGUCUGUGACCGGAAAUCUAUUUUUUCUCUUUUCAAUAGAAGGGGAAGGGAAGUUUUUAAGCAGUGUGUCUUUUGAGAUACAAUCAAUCGAAGAGAAUC